CCUACGGGGGGCAGCAGUGGGGGAUAUUGCACAAUGGGGGAAACCCUGAUGCAGCGACGCCGCGUGGGUGAAGAAGCGCCUCGGCGCGUAAAGCCCUGUUAGCAGGGAAGAAAAUGACGGUACCUGAAGAAGAAGCACCGGCUAACUACGUGCCAGCAGCCGCGGUAAUACGUAGGGGGCAAGCGUUAUACGGAUUCACUGGGCGUAAAGGGGGCGCAGACGGCGAUGCAAGCCAGGAGUGAAAGCCCGGGGCCCAACCCCGGGACUGCCCUUGGAACUGCGUGGCUAGAGUGCAGGAGGGGCAGGCGGAAUUCCUGGUGUAGCGGUAAAAUGCGUAGAGAUCAGGAGGAACACCGGUGGCGAAGGCGGCCUGCUGGACUGCAACUGACGUUGAGGCGCGAAAGCGUGGGGAGCAAACAGGAUUAGAUACCCUUGUAGUC
rnacentral:rRNA from 1 species